UUAGGCAUCUACUUAACUUUAUUUUUAGAUUCACUUUUAGGAAAGCUACCUCAAAUACUUUUUUAAAAUUCUAAGUCCUUUUCUUCUGGCUUUCACAAAACUGUUUCCCGGUGGUAAGGUGAAGGCAUUACACAGCAAAAAAAAAAAAUCAUCAAGCUAUAUUAAAGCUGAAAACUAAGUCUUUCCCCCAUAAAACAAGACAUUUUCUGAUAUAGAAUUUCAAAACUCAUUAAGCUUAUAUUUGGAACAACAGAAAGAUAUAAAAUAUUUUUAAUGUUAUAAAUACUUAAAUUAACUUUUCAUAAAAGCAGUCACUCACAGAAAUACAAGGCAGUGUUCAAGGAAAAAAAAACAUUUGGCCAGGAAAACAAAACAAACACCAUUUCAGUGCUUAGUGUUAGAAAAAAGACCCUGUGUUUCAGAUGGACUUGUUUCAAUUAAAGACAAUAGGGAUAUAUAUGUCCCAAUUCUUGGCAAGAAACAGCUUCCUCCUUGAGGAUAUUUUUAUUUUGCUUUCAACAUUUCAAAUCAAAAAAGACCAAGAGUCCAGGCUGCUUUUCAAGUUUGACAUUCCGAGGCUCCAGGAGAAAUAAGUAUUAUAGUUUUCACUUUGCCUGUGUUCCACCCCAAGGGACUCAGUCCCAAGUUUCCUACAUCAACAAGCCCUGAAAUAAUCAGCAAAGGACAAUUUAUUUUAAAAACUACUUAUCAUGAGUUCUAGAAUCAGAUUACAGGAAAAAGGACAAGAUUCAAGACAUCACAGCAAAUUGGGACAAGGUCCAGAUCAUCUAGUCUGAAAUAGAUUCAGCCCACCAGUUUCACAGUGGUGUCUUCCAUCCGAAGCAUCUUGCUUGUUGGCCAGUUCUCACAUCCUCCUUAAAUUUUUGUGUCUCAAAAACAUAUUCUUUAAAAUGGAAAGAAAUAUACAAAGGAGGAAGAAAAUGUCCAACUUCUUAUUUUCCUAACCUUAUUUUUGACCCAAAGAAUAAACCCCUUAUGCAAAGAAUAUUUCUCCAUUAUCAUUAGAUAAGACGUCACAAUAGCUAUCUCUUAAUUACAAAGUCAACAUUUUCACUUUACCUACAGAAGGAACACAUAGCAUGCUGUGUAUUUCUCUAUAGAAGGAAAUCGAUUCAAAACACAGUAUAGCUACUGGUACAGCAACCCAGAUAUAAUUUCAUUUAAAAUGUCUUUUAUCUAAAUCACAUGUAACUUCUUGUUUAGAAUAAAUUAUAAAAGUAUUAUUGUCAGACUCAACAGUGUUAUCAAUUCAAAUAAAUCCUUAUGCUUG
ensembl:lncRNA